GAUGAACGCUGGCGGCGUGCCUAAUACAUGCAAGUCGAGCGAACAGACGAGAAGCUUGCUCUUCUGAUGUUAGCGGCGGACGGGUGAGUAACACGUGGAUAACCUACCUAUAAGACUGGGAUAACUUCGGGAAACCGGAGCUAAUACCGGAUAAUAUAUUGAACCGCAUGGUUCAAUAGUGAAAGACGGUCUUGCUGUCACUUAUAGAUGGAUCCGCGCUGCAUUAGCUAGUUGGUAAGGUAACGGCUUACCAAGGCAACGAUGCAUAGCCGACCUGAGAGGGUGAUCGGCCACACUGGAACUGAGACACGGUCCAGACUCCUACGGGAGGCAGCAGUAGGGAAUCUUCCGCAAUGGGCGAAAGCCUGACGGAGCAACGCCGCGUGAGUGAUGAAGGUCUUCGGAUCGUAAAACUCUGUUAUUAGGGAAGAACAAAUGUGUAAGUAACUGUGCACAUCUUGACGGUACCUAAUCAGAAAGCCACGGCUAACUACGUG
rnacentral:rRNA from 1 species